rnacentral:lncRNA from 1 species
CCUGGGCAGCCUGCUGCAGUGCCUCACCAUCCCCACAGUGAAUUUCUCCCUUGCAUCUAAUCUAACCCUCCCUCCUUCAGCUCAAAGCCAUUCCUCUUGUCCUGUCACACCAUGUCCCUGUCAAAAGUCCCUCUUCAGACCCCUUGUAUUCUCCUUUAGGUACUGGAAGGUGCUGUAAGUUCUUUCUGAAGCUUUCUCUUCUGCAGGCUCAACAGCCCCAAGUCUUGCAGCCUCACAGGAGAGGUGCUCCAGCCCUCUGAGCAUCUCCCUGGCCUCAUCUGGACUUGCUCCAAAAGGUCCCCAUCUUUCCUGGGUUGGGGCACCAGAGCUGGAGAAGAAAAGGUGAAGAUGACUUAGUGGCCAUUUUCAGACUGUGGACAAGGAUUUCCCCACUCCAGUUUAUCUUUCCAGUUCCUUGUGCAUAUUUCACAUUGCUUAUGAGAAACCCUUCUGAGCAGCAGUUAAAAUCUGAGCUUUGACCUUGGAAUGUCCCAUCUGCACCACACCACUUCAGACACUUCCAGAGGCUCCUACAAAACAUCAGCUAUUGCAGAAUGUCACUGGUGAAAAUACGAGCAUAUGUAUGGAAUUGAUUUAAUGCCAGCUAAAGGAACAUUAAUCUAGCUGCAAAUUUUCACUGCAGGGACAUGAUGCAGUAAAUUUCUGCUAGUCUAACACUGGAGUUGAUAUUCCAUGAUAAAUGACACUUUCGUUUGGAAAAGAAAAGAAAACUUUUCUUCAAAACCUUAAUUGACUCUCAUAUAUUUCUGACUACAAAUUGUACUGGAUAAUAAAGGCAAUAAGUAUAGCAAGUAAACCCAUAUUUUUCAAACACUCUGAAAGAUAUACAAUUAAGGUGCCCAGCUCACUGUAUUCUCUUCAUUCCCUUUAUAAUAACUGGGAGUUAACAUUUUUAAUUCACAUUGAUUUCCUUCAUGGAUUUUUUGGUUACUAACAUAGAAGCAGAACAAAAAGAAAAAGCCUGUGCUUCCAAGAAAUCCUUCAAAGUGAAGUCAAUAACUGAGCUGCCUUAUGGGAUGAUCUGUGGAGAUUCCAGCUGGACUUGCUUUGAAGGUGACCUUCUGGCAGAGGACAAACCUGACAAAUUUCACUGUAAGGCUGGAAAUUCAGAGGAUAAAAAAUGUUGCAAUCAACAGUGGAACAAAGAGGCAACAUUACCCUUUGGCAAUAGGGAAGGGCAUUCACUCUACCAGGUGAGUGAAGUUUGCUCUACCAGUUAACAAAGUACAACCCUGAAAGUUUUUGGUGCUGCUUGCUCAGAGAUUCUGACAAACCCUCAGUGGUCAUGUGAUGCGAUAUAAAGAGAUUUUUCUUCUACAUUUUAGUAUAUAGAGGUUUUUCCUGCAGUUAUAUAUUAGAAGAAGAUGGAAAAAAAUUGAACUGGAG